GCAGCAUAGAAACCUCAAAUGAAAAACCUAACAUUUCAAGCCACUAAUUUAGCCAACAUUGGCAUGAGCUAUCUCUGGUCUUAGUAUAUGAGGUGAUAAGCCCCCACUGUUCAAGUUGGAUGGCCAUCAAUUGCUGCAGAAUAGAAGUUAAUGAGGCUUCCUCCUCCUGGAUCCCCUACUAGACCUUGACAUGCCCAUUCAGUCACAGGCAGAAAGGGAAGCAGAGGGUAAGGAGACUUGGCUGACUGUGUCAGACGCAGAUCUUACCUGUCCUGCUUAGAACACUCAAAGCUCAAUUGCUUAAACAAAAAAGGAAAAAGACAAUAAGGAGUAUAGCACUCCCCAGAGGCAACUUAAUCUAACACUCUAUACUUUUAAUUUUCUAGACAUACAUAGAAAUCAGACCACUGCUUCUGCAGAACAUUUUACUGGUAAAAAGAACAGCCCACAUGAGGGAAAACUGAUUUGGUGGAAAGACAACAAAAACAAAACAUGGGAAAUAGGUAAGGUGAUAACAUGGGGGAGAGGUUUUGCUUGUGUUUCACCAGGAGAAAAUCAGCUUCCUGUUUGGAUACCCACUAGACAUUUGAAAUUCUACAAUGAACUCAUCAGGGAUGCAAAUGAAAGUGCCUGUGCCGAGACAGAAAACCCGCAAUCGAGCAUCAUCGACUCGCAGGGUGAACAAAAUGGUGAUAUCAGAAGAACAGAUGAAGUUACAAUCCACCAAGGAAACGGCACAUGUGGAGAGCCAGGGAGAGGAAGAGAAAGAAAAAGAGACAGAGAUCAGAGAGAGACACAGAAAGUGAGACUGGGGAGAGAGAGAGUGUAAAAGAGAGAGAGAGAGAGACCGUAAGAGAAGGGAGACAAAGAGAUAAAAGCUGCGAGUGAGCAGUCUACAGGUGUAUCCAGCAGCUCCAGAGAGACAGCGACCAGCGAGAAGGGGCCAUGAUGAUGGUGGUGGUUUUGUCAAAACGAAAAGGGGGAUAUGCAGGGAAAAGAAAGAGAGAUCAGACUGUUACUGUGUCUACAUAGAAAGGGAAGACAUAAGAGACUCCAUUUGGAAAAAGACCUGUACUUUAAACAAUAGCUUUGCUGAGAUGUUGUUAAUCUGUAGCUUUGCCCAAGCCACUUUGCCCCAACCACUUUGACCCAAUCUGGAGCUCACAAAAACAUGUGUUGUAUGAAAUCAAGGUUUAAGGCAUGUAGGGCUGUGCAGGACGUGCCUUGUUAACCAAAUGUUUGCAAGCAGUAUACUUGGUAAAAGCCAUCACCAUUCUCUUGUCUCAAUAAACCAGGGGCACAAUGCACUGUGGAAAGCCGCAGGGACCUCUGCCCUUGAAAGCUGGGUAUUGUUCAAAGUUUCUCCCCAUGUGAUAGUCUGAAAUAUGGCCUUGUGGGAUGAGAAAGACCUGACGGUCCCCCAGCCCGACACCCAUAAAAGGUCUGUGCUGAGGUGGAUUAGUCAAAGAGGAAAGACUCUUGCAGUUGAGAUAGAGGAAGGCCACUGUCUCCUGCCUGCCCCUGGGAACUGAAUGUCUCGGUAUAAAACACGAUUGUACAUUUGUUCAAUUCUGAGAUGGGAGAAAAACCGCCCUAUGGUGGGAGGAGAGACAUGUUUACAGCAAUACUGCCUUGUUAUUCUUUACUCCACUGAGAUGUUUGGGUGGAAAGAAAAAUAAAUCUGGCUUACAUGCACGUUCAGUCAUAGUACCUUCCCUUGAACUUCAUCAUGACAUAGAUUCUAUUGCUCACAUGUUUGUUGCUGACCUUCUUCUUAUUAUCACCCUGCCCUCCUACUACAUUCCUUUUUGCUGAAAUAAUAAAGAUAGUAUUCAAUAAAAACUGAGGGAACUCAGAG
rnacentral:lncRNA from 1 species